rnacentral:rRNA from 1 species
CAGCAGCGCGGUAAUACGUAGGUGGCAAGCGUUGUCCGGAAUUAUUGGGCGUAAAGGGCUCGCAGGCGGUUUCUUAAGUCUGAUGUGAAAGCCCCCGGCUCAACCGGGGAGGGUCAUUGGAAACUGGGAAACUUGAGUGCAGAAGAGGAGUGUGGAAUUCCACGUGUAGCGGUGAAAUGCGUAGAGAUGUGGAGGAACACCAGUGGCGAAGGCGACUCCCUGGUCUGUAACUGACGCUGAGGAGCGAAAGCGUGGGGAGUGAACAGGAUUAGAUACCCCUGUAGUCCCUGUCUCUUAUACA